GACGGAGGAUGCAAGUGUUAUCCGGAAUCACUGGGCGUAAAGCGUCUGUAGGUGGUCAAAUAAGUCAACUGUUAAAUCUUGAGGCUCAACCUCAAAAUCGCAGUCGAAACUAUUAGACUAGAGUAUAGUAGGGGUAAAGGGAAUUUCCAGUGGAGCGGUGAAAUGUGUUGAUAUUGGCAGGAACACCGGAGGCGAAAGCGGCACACUGGGGGAUAACUGACGCUGAGGCACGAAAGCCAGGGGAGCGAACGGG
rnacentral:rRNA from 1 species